rnacentral:rRNA from 1 species
CCUACGGGUGGCUGCAGUGGGGAAUAUUGCACAAUGGGGGAAACCUGGAUGCGGGAACGCGGCGGGAAGGAAGAAGGCCUCGGGUCGGUAACUUUCUAUAAGCGGGAAGGAAGGAGGUGAGGUAACCUGCCAAGAAGCCCCCGCUAACUACGGUGCAGGAGCCGCGGGAAUACGGAGGGGGGAAGGGGUAAUCGGAAUCACUGGGUGUAAAGGGUGGGUAGGGGGUAGGGGAAGUCAGAUGGGAAAGCCCGGGGCUCAACUCCGGGAUUGCAUUUGAAACUGUCUUACUAGAGUGCAGGAGAGGAAGGCGGAAUUCCUAGUGUAGCGGUGAAAUGCGUAGAUAUUAGGAAGAACACCAGUGGCGAAGGCGGCUUUCUGGACUGUAACUGACGCUGAGGCACGAAAGCGUGGGGAGCGAACAGGAUUAGAUACCCCGGUAGUC